rnacentral:lncRNA from 1 species
GGAGAUUAAGGUGUUUGAAUCAAAGAUUGAAUUUUUACUUGUUGUUUGUGAGUUUUCUAAUGUAUUUCCAAAAGAAUUACCGAUUUGCCACUGAUAAGAGAGGUUGAAUUUGGUAUUGAAUUAGUACCGAGAACAACACCAAUAUCGAUAGCUCCAUACAAAAUGACUCCAACAGAAUUAAAAGAAUUGAAAGCUCAGUUGCAAGAACUGAUAGACAAAGGUUUUGCAUGACCGAG